CCACACGAGAAGCUGUGGGGGGCGUGGCUUUCGGGUGACUACAAAUGGACUAAAUUCAAGAAAUUCUCCACGCCGACAUCAUCGAAACCCUCUCGGUGAACACCCAAUUUAAAAGCACGGGAAGUACCCACUGCGUAAAUUUACACACGUCAGAAUAUCUGCGCACGGUUGCCAGAGGAGCUCCACGGGAGGGAAACAGCCAGAGCCCCUCUUCAUCUGUGCAAGAAUUGAUGAGGUUGUGGACGUGAAACGCGUCGAGAUCGCUGGUGAUGUUGAGACGUCAGUUUUCUGGACUGCCAAGCAGAAAAUGUGGAAAUAAAUCCUGCUUGUAAAACAGUCCAGGCAGGGGGCACGCCAUAUAUCAUCUGCUAC